rnacentral:rRNA from 1 species
UACGAAGGGGGCUAGCGUUGUUCGGAAUCACUGGGCGUAAAGCGCACGUAGGCGGACUUUUAAGUCAGAGGUGAAAUCCCAAGGCUCAACCUUGGAACUGCCUUUGAUACUGGAAGUCUUGAGUUCGGGAGAGGUGAGUGGAACUGCGAGUGUAGAGGUGAAAUUCGUAGAUAUUCGCAAGAACACCAGUGGCGAAGGCGGCUCACUGGCCCGAUACUGACGCUGAGGUGCGAAAGCGUGGGGAGCAAACAGG